rnacentral:rRNA from 1 species
CUGGUUGAUCCUGCCAGUAGUCAUAUGCUUGUCUCAAAGAUUAAGCCAUGCAUGUCUAAGUACAUACCUUUGCACGGUGAAACCGCGAAUGGCUCAUUAAAUCAGUUAUGGUUCCUUAGAUCGUUCAUAUUACAUGGAUAACUGUGGUAAUUCUAGAGCUAAUACAUGCAAAAAGCUCCGACCGUAUGGGAAGAGCGCUUUUAUUAGACCAAAACCAAUGGGGUGGCAACAUCCCUUUGUCUGGUGACUCUGGAUAACUUUGUGCUGAUCGCAUGGCCUCGAGCCGGCGACGUAUCUUUCAAGUGUCUGCCCUAUCAACUUUCGAUGGUAAGCGACCUGCCUACCAUGGUUGUAACGGGUAACGGGGAAUCAGGGUUCGAUUCCGGAGAGGGAGCAUGAGAAAUGGCUACCACAUCUACGGAAGGCAGCAGGCGCGCAAAUUACCCACUCCUAGAACGGGGAGGUAGUGACGAAAAAUAACAAUACCGGACUCAUAGAGGCUCGGUAAUUGAAAUGAGUACAGUUUAAAACCCUUAACGAGGAUCUAUUGGAGGGCAAGUCUGGUGCCAGCAGCCGCGGUAAUUCCAGCUCCAAUAGCGUAUAUUAAAGUUGUUGCAGUUAAAAAGCUCGUAGUUGGAUCUCGGGUACUAGCAUGUGGUACGCUUAACUGCUGUAACUACAUGUCUGGUCCUAAUCAAUCGGUUGGCCGUAGAUGUCCUUUACUGGGUGUUUACGGUAGCCGGUACGUUUACUUUGAGAAAAUUAGAGUGCUUAAAGCAGGCAAUUCGCCUGAAUAAUGUUGCAUGGAAUAAUAGAAUAGGACCUCGGUUCUAUUUUGUUGGUUUUGUAGAGCAUUGAGGUAAUGAUUAAUAGGGACAGACGGGGGCAUUCGUAUUGCGGUGUUAGAGGUGAAAUUCUUGGAUCGCCGCAAGACGAACAACUGCGAAAGCAUUUGCCAAGAAUGUUUUCAUUAAUCAAGAACGAAAGUUGGAGGUUCGAAGACGAUUAGAUACCGUCCUAGUUCCAACCAUAAACGAUGCCAACUAGCGAUUAGCCGAUGUAAAUUAAACGACACGGCUAGCAGCUUCCGGGAAACCAAAGUUUUUGGGUUCCGGGGGAAGUAUGGUUGCAAAGCUGAAACUUAAAGGAAUUGACGGAAGGGCACCACCAGGAGUGGAGCCUGCGGCUUAAUUUGAC